rnacentral:rRNA from 1 species
AGCGAACGCUGGCGGCAGGCUUAACACAUGCAAGUCGAGCGGGCGUAGCAAUACGUCAGCGGCAGACGGGUGAGUAACGCGUGGGAACAUACCUUUUGGUUCGGAACAACACAGGGAAACUUGUGCUAAUACCGGAUAAGCCCUUACGGGGAAAGAUUUAUCGCCGAAAGAUUGGCCCGCGUCUGAUUAGCUAGUUGGUGAGGUAACGGCUCACCAAGGCGACGAUCAGUAGCUGGCUGAGAGGAUGAUCAGCCACAUUGGGACUGAGACACGGCCCAAACUCCUACGGGAGGCAGCAGUGGGGAAUAUUGGACAAUGGGCGAAAGCCUGAUCCAGCCAUGCCGCGUGAGUGAUGAAGGCCCG